UGAGUAGACUAUGCGAUAGAGUGGCUCCUUAUCAGAGUCAUUAGGAAAGUCCGGGCAUCACAGAGCAGGAUAGCAGAUUACUACUGCCGAGGGCGACCUCAGGGAAAGUGCAACAGAAAUAUACCGCCUGAUUUUUCAGGUAAGGAUGGAAAGGCGAGGUAAGAGCUCACCGUGAUGCGUGAGAGCGCAUUGACGUGUAAACCCUGUCCGAUGCAACGCCGGUUGGUAUAAUAUGUCUUAACGUCUGCUCGGCGGGCAUAUUACAAAGGCGGCUUAGAUAGAUUAUCGCACACGACAGAACUCGGCUUAUCGGUCUGCUCAUACC
rnacentral:RNase_P_RNA from 1 species